UGGUGGAGUGAUUUGUCUGGUUAAUUCCGUUAACGAACGAGACCUCGGCCUGCUAAAUAGUUUGCUAUAGUCUUCGGACUAUGGAAAACUUCUUAGAGGGACUAUCGGUUUCUAAGCCGAUGGAAGUUCGAGGCAAUAACA
rnacentral:rRNA from 1 species